UCAUAACUACUUCUAUACUAUGAAAUUCACCCUGGACAGAUUUUGUCUCAACUGUGCUCACAACCUAUGUCUGGAUUCUGCAAAUGUGCUUAUUAGUUGUGCAUCUGAAAAUAGUAUGCACUCACCUUUUUGCAGACAAAGUCACCAGACCCAGCAAAAUGCCAAUAUCCCAAAUGAAUUAAAAACACAAUGGAAGUAAUGGAUGCUGUCUGUAUUAGCAACUAAAAUAUUAGUUGCCAGUGGAUAUGGAUUUGACCCAAAAUUUGGGAAAAAAGAUACCUAAAGUAUAAUGACAAGACUUUGCAACUUGAUCAGGAGCAGUACAGAGACAAAGUAGGAAGUCAUAAACUUGAUGGAAACCUGAGGAUAAAUCUAAUCCAUCCUGGAAUGAUCAAGU